CAAUUGUGACACUAACAGACCCAAUUUAUAUAACCAGUCUUUCUCCGUGUUCAAACCCACCUCUAUUAGUUCAAUUGCUUUGGUCUACUGAAGCUUGAACACAAUGAGAACAACAUUUUGGUGCCGUUGCCGAGGAAAUGAUAACAAUAUGAAAUGUUAGAAAUUGAUUGUAUGAGAAGAAUGAAAGAUUAUGAGUAAUAAUAAUGAAGG
rnacentral:lncRNA from 1 species